rnacentral:rRNA from 1 species
GACGAACGCUGGCGGCGUGCUUAACACAUGCAAGUCGAACGGAAAGGCCCUGCUUUUGUGCGGUGCUCGAGUGGCGAACGGGUGAGUAACACGUGAGUAACCUGCCCCUGACGUUGGGAUAACUUCAGGAAACUGGGGCUAAUAUCGGAUAGGAGCUCCUGCUGCAUGGUGGGGGUUGGAAAGUUUCGGCGGUUGGGGAUGGACUCGCGGCUUAUCAGCUUGUUGGUGGGGUAGUGGCUUACCAAGGUUUUGACGGGUAGCCGGCCUGAGAGGGUGACCGGCCACAUUGGGACUGAGAUACGGCCCAGACUCCUACGGGAGGCAGCAGUGGGGAAUAUUGCACAAUGGGCGGAAGCCUGAUGCAGCACCGCCGCGUGCGGGAUGACGGCCUUCGGGUUGUAAACCGCUUUCGCCUGUGACGAAGCGUGAGUGACGGUAAUGGGUAAAGAAGCACCGGCUAACUACGUG